UGGGGAAUUUUGGGCAAUGGGCGAAAGCCUGAUCCAGCCAUGCCGCGUGUGUGAAGAAGGUCUUCGGAUUGUAAAGCACUUUAAGUUGGGAGGAAGGGCAGUUACCUAAUACGUAUCUGUUUUGACGUUACCGACAGAAUAAGCACCGGCUAACUCUGUGCCAGCAGCCGCGGUAAUACAGAGGGUGCAAGCGUUAAUCGGAAUUACUGGGCGUAAAGCGCGCGUAGGUGGUUUGUUAAGUUGGAUGUGAAAUCCCCGGGCUCAACCUGGGAACUGCAUUCAAAACUGACAAGCUAGAGUAUGGUAGAGGGUGGUGGAAUUUCCUGUGUAGCGGUGAAAUGCGUAGAUAUAGGAAGGAACACCAGUGGCGAAGGCGACCACCUGGACUGAUACUGACACUGAGGUGCGAAAGCGUGGGGAGCAAACAGGAUUAGAUACCCCUGUAGUCCCUGAGCGGGCUGGCAAGGCGCAU
rnacentral:rRNA from 1 species